rnacentral:rRNA from 1 species
GUCCACACCUUAAACGAUGAAUACUUGGUGUCGGGUCGUAAGGCUCGGUGCCAAAGCUAACGCAUUAAGUAUUCCACCUGGGGAGUACGAUCGCAAGGUUGAAACUCAAAGGAAUUGACGGGGGCCCGCACAAGCAGUGGAGCAUGUGGUUCAAUUCGAUGCAACGCGAAGAACCUUACCUGGGUUUGAAAAGCAAGAUUCUAGUCCCUGAAAGGGGAUUACCCGCAAGGGGUCUUGUACAGGUGCUGCAUGGCUGUCGU